CAUGCCAGUCGAGCGCGCCUUCGGGUGAGCGGCGGACGGGUUAGUAACGCGUGGGAACGUGCCCUUCUCUACGGAAUAGCCUCUGGAAACGGAGAGUAAUACCGUAUACGCCCUUUGGGGGAAAGAUUUAUCGGAGAAGGAUCGGCCCGCGUUAGAUUAGGUAGUUGGUGGGGUAACGGCCUACCAAGCCUACGAUCUAUAGCUGGUUUUAGAGGAUGAUCAGCAACACUGGGACUGAGACACGGCCCAGACUCCUACGGGAGGCAGCAGUGGGGAAUCUUAGACAAUGGGGGCAACCCUGAUCUAGCCAUGCCGCGUGAGUGAUGAAGGCCUUAGGGUCGUAAAGCUCUUUCGCCUGUGAUGAUAAUGACAGUAGCAGGUAAAGAAACCCCGGCUAACUCC
rnacentral:rRNA from 1 species